rnacentral:rRNA from 1 species
GAUGAACGCUGGCGGCGUGCCUAAUACAUGCAAGUCGAGCGAACGGACGAGAAGCUUGCUUCUCUGAUGUUAGCGGCGGACGGGUGAGUAACACGUGGAUAACCUACCUAUAAGACUGGGAUAACUUCGGGAAACCGGAGCUAAUACCGGAUAAUAUUUUGAACCGCAUGGUUCAAAAGUGAAAGACGGUCUUGCUGUCACUUAUAGAUGGAUCCGCGCUGCAUUAGCUAGUUGGUAAGGUAACGGCUUACCAAGGCAACGAUGCAUAGCCGACCUGAAAGGGUGAUCGGCCACACUGGCACUGAGGCACGUACCAGACUCCUACGGGAGGCAGCAGUAGGGAAUCUUCCGCGAUGGACGAAAGCCUGACGGAGCAACGCCGCGUGAGUGAUGAAGGUCUUCGGAUCGUAAAACUCUGUUAUUAGGGAAGAACAUAUGUGUAAGUAACUGUGCACAUCUUGACGGUACCUAAUCAGAAAGCCACGGCUAACUACGUG